rnacentral:rRNA from 1 species
AGCGUAGGCGGCGUGGUAAGUCAGAUGUGAAAUCCCGGGGCUCAACCCCGGAACUGCAUCCGAUACUGCCGUGCUAGAGCAAUGGAGGGGUAGCCGGAAUUCUCGGUGUAGCAGUGAAAUGCGUGGAUAUCGAGAGGAACACUCGUGGCGAAGGCGGGCGUACUGGACAUUUGCUGACGCUGAGGCACGAAAGCGUGGGGAGCAAACA